CAGGGCUGUGGGUCUGGCCAUUGGCUAUGGGUCAGGCUGUUAGUUAUGGGGCAGAGCACCCCGCUAUGGGGCAGAGCACCCCGCUAUGGGGCAGCCCGUCACCGUGGGUCUGUGGGGCAGGACGCGGUGCAGGACCUGCAGCGGGUGCUGAGCCGCGGGCGCCGCCUGGGGGUCGCAGUGGGGCUGAAGCUGGUGCGGGGGGCGUACCUGCAGCACGAGAGGGGCAGGGGGACCGCCAUGGACACCCCCCAGCACACCGACCGCAGCUACGCGCAGUGCCUGGAGCUGGCGCUGACGCACGGGGGGGGCCUGGAGCUGAUGGUGGCCACGCACAACGAGGGCUCCGUGCAGCUGGCAGCACGCAGGU
rnacentral:lncRNA from 1 species